GUAUGAUUGGUGACUCAUAAUAACUUUACGGAUCACAAUUAAUGUGACAUAUCAUUCAAGUUUCUAACCUAUCAGCUUUAGACGGUAGGGUAUUGGCCUACCGUGGCAAUGACGGGUAACGGGGAAUUAGGAUUCGAUUCCGGAGAGGGAGCCUGAGAAACGGCUACCACAUCUAAGGAAGGCAGCAGGCGCGCAAGUUACCCAAUCCUAAUACAGGGAGGUAGUGACAAGAAAUAACAAUACAGGACUUUUUGGUUUUGUAAUUGGAAUGAGUUAAGUAUAAACCCCUUUACAAGUAUCAAUUGGAGGGCAAGUCUGGUGCCAGCAGCCGCGGUAAUUCCAGCUCCAAUAGCGUAUAUUAAAGUUGUUGCAGUUAAAAAGCUCGUAGUUGGAUUUCUGUUAAUAAUUUAUAUAAAAUAUUUUGAUGAAUAUUUAUAUAGUAUUAACAUAAUUCAUAUUACUAUUUUUUUUAGUAUAUGAAAUUUUACUUUGAGAAAAUUAGAGUGCUUAAAGCAGGCAUAAGCCUUGAAUACUCCAGCAUGGAAUAAUAUUAAAGAUUUUUAUCUUUCUUAUUGGUUCUAAGAUAUGAAUAAUGAUUAAUAGGGACAGUUGGGGGCAUUUGUAUUUAACAGUCAGAGGUGAAAUUCUUAGAUUUGUUAAAGACAGACUAAUGCGAAAGCAUUUGCCAAGGAUGUUUUCAUUAAUCAAGAACGAAAGUUAGGGGAUCGAAGACGAUCAGAUACCGUCGUAGUCUUAACCAUAAACUAUGCCAACUAGA
rnacentral:rRNA from 1 species